rnacentral:rRNA from 1 species
AACGAACGCUGGCGGCAUGCCUAACACAUGCAAGUCGAACGAGACCUUCGGGCCUUGUGGCGCACGGGUGCGUACCGCGUGGGAACCUGCCCUUAGGUUCGGAAUAACUCCCCGUAAGGGGUCCUAAUACCGGUUAAUGUCAUCGCACCAAAGAUUUAUCGCGUCUGGAUGGGCCCGCGUUGGAUUAGCUAGUUGGUAGGGUAAAAGCCUACCAAGGCGACGAUCCAUAGCUGGUCUGAGAGGAUGAUCAGCCACACUGGGACUGAGACACGGCCCAGACUCCUACGGGAGGCAGCAGUGGGGAAUAUUGGAGGAUGGGCGAAAGCCUGAUCAAGCAAUGCCGCGGGAGUGAUGAAGGCCGUAGGGUUGUAAAGCUCUUUUACCCGGGAUGAUAAUGACAGUACCGGGAGAAUAAGCCCCGGCUAACUCCGUG